ensembl:lncRNA
AGAGUAACCAUAGGCUGGCCUGAGAGUGACCACUGAGUGACCACUGAGUGACCACGUGCUGGCCUGAGAAUGACCAUGGAGUGACCGCUGACCACUGAGUGACCAGCCAGGAAUGGCCACUGACCAACUGACCACAUGGGAGUGACCAACUGACCAUCCAGAAAUGAAUGGAGUGGACACAGAGUGGACACAGAGUGGACACAGAGUGGACAUUAAAAUGGACACUGACCACACCAGGGGUCACCUGUUCCAAUUUUUGGGACCCCAGCCCCAAAUUUUGGGGUUCUGGACCCGAUUUUGUUACCCCGGCCCCAAAUUUGGGGUCCUUAACCCAAAUUUUGGGGUUCUGAACCCAAAUUUUGGGGUUCUGGACUCAGAUUUUGGGGUCCCAACCCCAUUUUUGAGACCCCAGCCCCACAUUUAGGGUCCCCAAUCCACAUUUUGGGACCCCAGACCCAUUUUUGGGGUCUCAACCCCAAAUUUUGGGGGUCCUGGAUUCAGAUUUUGGGGUCCCAAACCCAAAUUUUAGAGUCCUAAACCGAAAUUUUGGGACCCCGACCCCAAAUGUUAAGACCCCACCCCAUUUUCAUCUCCCCUGACCCCAAAUUUUUUUAUUCUGACCCCAAAUUUUGGGACCCCAGCCCCAAAUUUCGGGGUCCUCGCCCCCAAUUUUGAGACCGCAACCCCAAAUUUUGUAAUUCUGACCCCAAAUUUUGAGACCCCGACCCCAUUUUUGGGACCCCAGCCCCAAAUUUUAGGACCCCAAUCCCAAAUUUUGGGAUUCUGACCCCAAAUUUCGGGACCUUGACCCCAAAUUUUGGGACCCCAGCUCCAUUUUCACCCCUCCAACCCCAAAUUUUGGGACCCCAACCCCAAAUUUUGUGAUUCUGACCCCAAAUUUUAGGACCCCAAUCCCAAAUUUUGGGGUUCUGAUCCCAAAUUUUGGGACCCCAGCCCCAUUUCUGGGACCCCGACCCCAAAUUUUGAAGUUCUGACCCCAAAUUUUUGGACCCCAACCCCAUUUUUGGGACCCCAGCCCCAUUUUUAGGCUUCUGAACCCAAAUUUUGGGACCCCGACCCCAAAUUUUCUCAUUCUGACCCCAAAUUUUGGGACCCCAGCCCCAAAUUUUGUGAUUCCGACCCCAAAUUUUGAGGUUCUGGACCCAAAUUUUGGGACCUUGACCCCAAAUUUCGGGGUCCUAGCCCUAAAUUUUGUGAUUCCGACCCCAAAUUUCGGGACCCCAGCCCCAUUUUUUGUACCCCGACCCCAAAUUUUGCGAUUCCGACCCCAAAUUUUUUGGAUUCCCCCCCCCCAAUAAA